rnacentral:pre_miRNA from 1 species
AGCAAGUGUAGCUUGUGUUAUGUGGUUCUGUAAUUCAUCACCGGGUUUUCACACUUGCCAA